CUGCAAAGUUCGAGCGGUAACAGGAAUUAGCUUGCUAAUUUGCUGACGAGCGGCGGACGGGUGAGUAACGCGUAGGAAUCUGCCUGGUAGUGGGGGACAACAUGUGGAAACGCAUGCUAAUACCGCAUACGCCCUACGGGGGAAAGGAGGGGAUCUUCGGACCUUUCGCUACCAGAUGAGCCUGCGUGAGAUUAGCUAGUUGGUGGGGUAAAGGCUCACCAAGGCGACGAUCCCUAGCUGGUUUGAGAGGAUGAUCAGCCACACUGGAACAGAGACACGGUCCAGACUCCUACGGGAGGCAGCAGUGGGGAAUAUUGCACAAUGGGCGCAAGCCUGAUGCAGCCAUGCCGCGUGUGUGAAGAAGGCCUUAGGGUUGUAAAGCACUUUCAGUAAGGAGGAAAGGUUAGUAGUUAAUACCUGCUAGCUGUGACGUUACUUACAGAAGAAGCACCGGCUAACUCCGUGCCAGCAGCCGCGGUAAUACGGAGGGUGCGAGCGUUAAUCGGAAUUACUGGGCGUAAAGCGUACGCAGGCGGUUUGUUAAGCGAGAUGUGAAAGCCCCGGGCUCAACCUGGGAACUGCAUUUCGAACUGGCAAACUAGAGUAUGAUAGAGGGUGGUAGAAUU
rnacentral:rRNA from 1 species